rnacentral:rRNA from 1 species
ACUCCUACGGGAGGCAGCAGUGGGGAAUAUUGCACAAUGGGCGCAAGCCUGAUGCAGCCAUGCCGCGUGUAUGAAGAAGGCCUUCGGGUUGUAAAGUACUUUCAGCAGUGAGGAAGGUGGAUGCGUUAAUAGCGUAUUCAUUUGACGUUAGCUGCAGAAGAAGCACCGGCUAACUCCGUGCCAGCAGCCGCGGUAAUACGGAGGGUGCGAGCGUUAUCCGGAUUUAUUGGGUUUAAAGGGUCCGUAGGCGGAUUAAUAAGUCAGUGGUGAAAUCCCAUCGCUUAACGAUGGAACUGCCAUUGAUACUGUUAGUCUUGAAUGAGGGUGCAGUGGUUGGAAUGUGUAGUGUAGCGGUGAAAUGCAUAGAUAUUACACAGAACACCGAUUGCGAAGGCAGAUCACUAACCCUAAAUUGACGCUGAGGGACGAAAGCGUGGGGAGCGAACAGGAUUAGAUACCCUGUAGGUGACAAU